AUUGAACGCUGGCGGCAGGCUUAACACAUGCAAGUCGAGCGGGGUGAUGGUGCUUGCACUAUCACUUAGCGGCGGACGGGUGAGUAAUGCUUAGGAAUCUGCCUAUUAGUGGGGGACAACAUCUCGAAAGGGAUGCUAAUACCGCAUACGUCCUACGGGAGAAAGCAGGGGAUCACUUGUGACCUUGCGCUAAUAGAUGAGCCUAAGUCGGAUUAGCUAGUUGGUGGGGUAAAGUCCUACCAAGGCGACGAUCUGUAGCGGGUCUGAGAGGAUGAUCCGCCACACUGGGACUGAGACACGGCCCAGACUCCGACGGGAGGCAGCAGUGGGGAAUAUUGGACAAUGGGGGGAACCCCGAUCCAGCCAAGCCGCGUGUUUGAAGAAGGCCUUAUGGUUGUAAAGCACUUUAAGCGAGGAGGAGGCUCUUUUGGUUAAUACCCAGGAUGAGUGGACGUUACUCGCAGAAUAAGCACCGGCUAACUCUGUGCCAGCAGCCGCGGUAA
rnacentral:rRNA from 1 species